rnacentral:rRNA from 1 species
GGCGACGGGUGAGUAAUGUCUCGGAAUCUGCCCAUUAGUGGGGGAUAACUAYUCGAAAGGGUCGCUAAUACCGCAUACGNCCUACGGGAGAAAGCAGGGGAUCUUCAGACCUUGCNCUUUGGAUCAGCCGAUGUCGGAUUAGCUWGUUGGUGGGGUAAUGGCUCACCAAGGCGACGAUCCGUAGCUGGUUUGAGAGGAUGAYCAGYCACACUGGAACUGAGACACGGCCCAGACUCCUACGGGAGGCAGCAGUGGGGAAUUUUGGACAAUGGGSGAAACCCUGAUCCAGCCAUGCCGCGUGUGUGANGAAGGNCUUCGGAUUGUAAAGCACUUUUGGUUGGAANGAANGGUUGUGGGUUAAUACCCCGCNANUUUGACGGUACCUGCAGAAUAAGCACCGGCUAACUACGUGCCAGCAGCCGCGGUAAUACAUAGGGUGCAAGCGUUAAUCGGAAUUACUGGGCGUAAAGCGUGCGUAGGUGGUUUGUAAAGUUGGAUGUGAAAUCCCCCGGCUUAACUUUGGAACUGGCUUUUUAACUAGCGGGCUUAAAUGUGUGUAAAGGAUGUGGAAUUCCGCUGUGUAGCAGUGAAAUGCNUNNAUAUGCGGAGGAACACCGAUGGCNNAAGGAGACUCCUGGGACAGCUCUGACGCUCAUGCUGCGAAAGCNUGGGGANCNAACNNGGAUUAAUANCCCUGGUAGUCCACGCCCUAAACNAUGUCCACUUACUGUUGGGGCCCUUCUGACCUUGGUAGCGCACCUCACNCGUGAAGUUGACCGCCUGNGGGAGUACNGUCGCNAGAUGNNAACUCUCAAG